CUCGCGGGACGGGCCCCUCUGGCGCGGUCUUCGGACCACGUGAUGUCGGACCGCAUCG
rfam:Brevundimonas abyssalis TAR-001 DNA, contig: BAB006.